rnacentral:sRNA from 1 species
UUGACAAUCUUAUCGUGAAGGCAUACUUUCAGGAGUGAGGGUAGAGCGGGGUUUCCCCCGCCCUGGUAGUCUUAGUAAGCCGGGAAGCUUAUGACUAAGAGCACCACGAUGAUGAUCCACUUCAUCAUGACCCUUUCCUUAU